GGGUUGUGAGGUUAAGCGACUAAGCGUACACGGUGGAUGCCCUGGCAGUCAGAGGCGAUGAAGGACGUGCUAAUCUGCGAUAAGCGUCGGUAAGGUGAUAUGAACCGUUAUAACCGGCGAUUUCCGAAUGGGGAAACCCAGUGUGUUUCGACACACUAUCAUUAACUGAAUCCAUAGGUUAAUGAGGCGAACCGGGGGAACUGAAACAUCUAAGUACCCCGAGGAAAAGAAAUCAACCGAGAUUCCCCCAGUAGCGGCGAGCGAACGGGGAGCAGCCCAGAGCCUGAAUCAGUGUGUGUGUUAGUGGAAGCGUCUGGAAAGGCGCGCGAUACAGGGUGACAGCCCCGUACACAAAAAUGCACAUGCUGUGAGCUCGAUGAGUAGGGCGGGACACGUGGUAUCCUGUCUGAAUAUGGGGGGACCAUCCUCCAAGGCUAAAUACUCCUGACUGACCGAUAGUGAACCAGUACCGUGAGGGAAAGGCGAAAAGAACCCCGGCGAGGGGAGUGAAAAAGAACCUGAAACCGUGUACGUACAAGCAGUGGGAGCACGCUUAGGCGUGUGACUGCGUACCUUUUGUAUAAUGGGUCAGCGACUUAUAUUCUGUAGCAAGGUUAACCGAAUAGGGGAGCCGAAGGGAAACCGAGUCUUAACUGGGCGUUAAGUUGCAGGGUAUAGACCCGAAACCCGGUGAUCUAGCCAUGGGCAGGUUGAAGGUUGGGUAACACUAACUGGAGGACCGAACCGACUAAUGUUGAAAAAUUAGCGGAUGACUUGUGGCUGGGGGUGAAAGGCCAAUCAAACCGGGAGAUAGCUGGUUCUCCCCGAAAGCUAUUUAGGUAGCGCCUCGUGAACUCAUCUCCGGGGGUAGAGCACUGUUUCGGCAAGGGGGUCAUCCCGACUUACCAACCCGAUGCAAACUGCGAAUACCGGAGAAUGUUAUCACGGGAGACACACGGCGGGUGCUAACGUCCGUCGUGAAGAGGGAAACAACCCAGACCGCCAGCUAAGGUCCCAAAGUCAUGGUUAAGUGGGAAACGAUGUGGGAAGGCCCAGACAGCCAGGAUGUUGGCUUAGAAGCAGCCAUCAUUUAAAGAAAGCGUAAUAGCUCACUGGUCGAGUCGGCCUGCGCGGAAGAUGUAACGGGGCUAAACCAUGCACCGAAGCUGCGGCAGCGACGCUGAUGCGUUGUUGGGUAGGGGAGCGUUCUGUAAGCCUGCGAAGGUGUGCUGUGAGGCAUGCUGGAGGUAUCAGAAGUGCGAAUGCUGACAUAAGUAACGAUAAAGCGGGUGAAAAGCCCGCUCGCCGGAAGACCAAGGGUUCCUGUCCAACGUUAAUCGGGGCAGGGUGAGUCGACCCCUAAGGCGAGGCCGAAAGGCGUAGUCGAUGGGAAACAGGUUAAUAUUCCUGUACUUGGUGUUACUGCGAAGGGGGGACGGAGAAGGCUAUGUUGGCCGGGCGACGGUUGUCCCGGUUUAAGCGUGUAGGCUGGUUUUCCAGGCAAAUCCGGAAAAUCAAGGCUGAGGCGUGAUGACGAGGCACUACGGUGCUGAAGCAACAAAUGCCCUGCUUCCAGGAAAAGCCUCUAAGCAUCAGGUAACAUCAAAUCGUACCCCAAACCGACACAGGUGGUCAGGUAGAGAAUACCAAGGCGCUUGAGAGAACUCGGGUGAAGGAACUAGGCAAAAUGGUGCCGUAACUUCGGGAGAAGGCACGCUGAUAUGUAGGUGAGGUCCCUCGCGGAUGGAGCUGAAAUCAGUCGAAGAUACCAGCUGGCUGCAACUGUUUAUUAAAAACACAGCACUGUGCAAACACGAAAGUGGACGUAUACGGUGUGACGCCUGCCCGGUGCCGGAAGGUUAAUUGAUGGGGUUAGCGCAAGCGAAGCUCUUGAUCGAAGCCCCGGUAAACGGCGGCCGUAACUAUAACGGUCCUAAGGUAGCGAAAUUCCUUGUCGGGUAAGUUCCGACCUGCACGAAUGGCGUAAUGAUGGCCAGGCUGUCUCCACCCGAGACUCAGUGAAAUUGAACUCGCUGUGAAGAUGCAGUGUACCCGCGGCAAGACGGAAAGACCCCGUGAACCUUUACUAUAGCUUGACACUGAACAUUGAGCCUUGAUGUGUAGGAUAGGUGGGAGGCUUAGAAGUGUGGACGCCAGUCUGCAUGGAGCCGACCUUGAAAUACCACCCUUUAAUGUUUGAUGUUCUAACGUUGACCCGUAAUCCGGGUUGCGGACAGUGUCUGGUGGGUAGUUUGACUGGGGCGGUCUCCUCCUAAAGAGUAACGGAGGAGCACGAAGGUUGGCUAAUCCUGGUCGGACAUCAGGAGGUUAGUGCAAUGGCAUAAGCCAGCUUGACUGCGAGCGUGACGGCGCGAGCAGGUGCGAAAGCAGGUCAUAGUGAUCCGGUGGUUCUGAAUGGAAGGGCCAUCGCUCAACGGAUAAAAGGUACUCCGGGGAUAACAGGCUGAUACCGCCCAAGAGUUCAUAUCGACGGCGGUGUUUGGCACCUCGAUGUCGGCUCAUCACAUCCUGGGGCUGAAGUAGGUCCCAAGGGUAUGGCUGUUCGCCAUUUAAAGUGGUACGCGAGCUGGGUUUAGAACGUCGUGAGACAGUUCGGUCCCUAUCUGCCGUGGGCGCUGGAGAACUGAGGGGGGCUGCUCCUAGUACGAGAGGACCGGAGUGGACGCAUCACUGGUGUUCGGGUUGUCAUGCCAAUGGCACUGCCCGGUAGCUAAAUGCGGAAGAGAUAAGUGCUGAAAGCAUCUAAGCACGAAACUUGCCCCGAGAUGAGUUCUCCCUGACUCCUUGAGAGUCCUGAAGGAACGUUGAAGACGACGACGUUGAUAGGCCGGGUGUGUAAGCGCAGCGAUGCGUUGAGCUAACCGGUACUAAUGAACCGUGAGGCUUAACCUUACAACGCCGAAGGUGUUU
rnacentral:rRNA from 1 species